AUUGAACGCUGGCGGCAUGCCUAACACAUGCAAGUCGAACGGCAGCACAGCCCGCAAGGGUGGGUGGCGAGUGGCGGACGGGUGAGGAACACAUAGGAAUCUACCCUGUCGUGGGGGAUAACGUAGGGAAACUUACGCUAAUACCGCAUACGACCGAGAGGUGAAAGCGGCGGACCGCAAGGCGUCGCGCGACUGGAUGAGCCUAUGUCCGAUUAGCUAGUUGGGGGGGUAAGAGCCCACCAAGGCGACGAUCGGUAGCUGGUCUGAGAGGAUGAUCAGCCACACUGGAACUGAGACACGGUCCAGACUCCUACGGGAGGCAGCAGUGGGGAAUAUUGGACAAUGGGCGCAAGCCUGAUCCAGCAAUGCCGCGUGGGUGAAGAAGGCCUUCGGGUUGUAAAGCCCUUUUGUACGGGAAGAAAUCCUGUCGGUUAAUACCCGGCGGGGAUGACGGUACCGUAAGAAUAAGCACCGGCUAACUUCGUGCCAGCCGCCGCGGUAAUAC
rnacentral:rRNA from 1 species